rnacentral:tRNA from 1 species
GCCUGAGUGUCUCAGUCGUUUGAGCGGCUGACUUCGAAUCAGGUCAUAAUCUCAUGGUUUGUGGGUUCGAGCCCCACAUCAGGGU